CUUGCUUUUUAAGCUUAGUGGCGAACGGGUGAGUAACGCGUGAGUAACCUGCCCUAGAGUGGGGGACAACAGUUGGAAACGACUGCUAAUACCGCAUAAGCCCACGGUACCGCAUGGUACUGAGGGAAAAGGAUUUAUUCGCUUUAGGAUGGACUCGCGUCCAAUUAGCUAGUUGGUGAGGUAACGGCCCACCAAGGCGACGAUUGGUAGCCGGACUGAGAGGUUGAACGGCCACAUUGGGACUGAGACACGGCCCAGACUCCUACGGGAGGCAGCAGUGGGGGAUAUUGCACAAUGGGGGAAACCCUGAUGCAGCGACGCCGCGUGGAGGAAGAAGGUUUUCGGAUUGUAAACUCCUGUCGUUAGGGACGAUAAUGACGGUACCUAACAAGAAAGCACCGGCUAACUACGUGCCAGCAGCCGCGGUAAAACGUAGGGUGCAAGCGUUGUCCGGAAUUACUGGGUGUAAAGGGAGCGCAGGCGGGAAGACAAGUUGGAAGUGAAAACCAUGGGCUCAACCCAUGAAUUGCUUUCAAAACUGUUUUUCUUGAGUAGUGCAGAGGUAGAUGGAAUUCCCGGUGUAGCGGUGGAAUGCGUAGAUAUCGGGAGGAACACCAGUGGCGAAGGCGGUCUACUGGGCACCAACUGACGCUGAGGCUCGAAAGCAUGGGUAGCAAACAGGAUUAGAUACCCUGGUAGUCCAUGGCCGUA
rnacentral:rRNA from 1 species